rnacentral:lncRNA from 1 species
CGCACCCACCAUGCACGUUCUUCACCUGCAACAAACCACAAACAGUGGAAGGGACCGAAUAUAUAGGGAGCAAAUUGUAAACGGAUGAAGGGAGAUAUAAAAAAAACUGAAUCUGAAAAGAUGGGGAUAUAAAAGAAAAAACCGAAUCUGUAAGGUAUGGGGGAGAGCAAAAAUAUUGUAUACAGAAAUAUUUGAAAGAAGAAAAAGAAUAGAAAUUAAUUUUGAAGGUAAUCGGUGGGUUCCGUUUUUUUCCUUUUUUUACUGUCUUGUUUUCUUUAUUUUCUUUCUUGUUCUUUAAAACAAAAACAAAACAAAGAAGAAGGAGAGGGGUUCUUACCGGAGGUAGAGCGCCGUCGUCGUCGUUGUGGCCGGUCGGAAAUGGGUCUAAAAUGGUGUAAGGGAGGCUGCGGCAAACACAAAAAUGACAGAAAAGGGGAAUGGUUUUAGGGUUUUAAAAUAGGAUUUUAUAAGGGUUUAAAAGGGGCCAUUUGCGCGAUUGGUCCUUUUCUUUUUGGGUUGUUUAAAUUAAAAUUAUUAUUUCUUUUAAAUUUUACUGCAUAUUUUAAUAUGGUUUCAAUCCAGUCCUCGUUGCUGUGCAGUGUUUGGGAGGUUUGGGUAAAUUUCUUUUUAGGUCUUCCUCAUGUUACGCGCGUUUUAAUUUGCCCCUUUUCACGUUUUCAAUUUUCGAAUUUAGCCUUUAAAUUCUAUUUAUUUUCAAUAUUAAUCCUCAAUUUGUUCUUGUUUUUUUUUAAUACUGUUAAAUCGUUUAUUACUAUAUUAUUAUUAGCAUUUAUUAUUAUUGUUAUAUUAUAUUAUUAUUAUACAUAUAUUAUAUGCGCAUUUAUGUGAUAAUAUUUAUAUGUAUAUAUUUUGAACACUUUUUAUAUACUUUAUUAUUAUUAUUAUUAUAUAUAUAUACGUAUAUACAUUUUUAUUUUAUAAUAUUCAUAUGCUUUCCAUAUUUUAUAAUCUAUAUGUGUUUAUACAUGUUUAUAUAUAUAUUCAUAUAUUAUUCAAAACUUUUAUAAAUAUAUUUUCCAUAUAUUUUUAUAUAUAAAUAUAUACCCAUAUUUUCAUAAUUAUUAAUAUAUCAUGCUUACGUUUUUAUUCUUCUGACAACUCAUUAUAUUCUAUGAUUAUGUUCUUUUUAUAAUUUUUGUAUACAUAUAUAGGUAUAUUUUAAAUUAAAGUAAAGAUUUCUUGUUACGCAUUAGCAUUUUAUCAUACUUUUAAAGAAAAAUUUAUUUUGGCUUCGUCAAAGCAUUAAAAUCGUUUUAUUUUUAAAUUUUUAAAUAUUUGGCCUUUAUGAUUCUCAAGAAAGAUCGUGUCCUAAUUUACUGGAUCGCGAUUAUUUUUCGACGAAUUUAGAAAGCUGGGUAUUUAUUUUACAAUAAAUUCACACAAAUUUCUAAUAAAAGCUUGUUCUCGGGGAUCUAAAAUUUCGGGUCCUAACUUACUGGUCCUGAUAUUUUGACCUCUCGAAAUAAGAUUUUUUUAAACGAAAGGUGCUAUUCGAUAUUUGAAAUUCUGAGAAAUUGUGCCCUAAUUUACUGGGUUUCGAUUUUUCUUUAUUUGAUCUAAAUAAUCGAAUACCCUUUUUAGAUUUAGUUGUGUGAGUUUUAAAAUCAAAAGACAAACGUAAUUUUAAAGAUUUAAAAAUAUUGUGCCCUAACUAACUGGGUGUGAUAUUUUAUUUCUUUGAAAUAGGGAUGUUUAUCUUUUUAAUUCAUCCUCGAGUUAAAAUUUUUUAUUUAAACUCUUUUCAAAUUUUCGACAUCAAGACUUAAAAUAAUCAAAUUUGGUACCAAUUUUUGGGCGUUACGAGGGUGCUAACCCUUCCUCAUGCGUAACUGACUCCUGAACCUGUUUUCUCAAAUUUUGCAGACCAGAAUUGUUUUUAUGGUGAGCCGAUCACACCUUAAUAAAGGAUCGGUGGCGACUCCAGUUUUUGUUUUUCUUUAAAAAGUCGACAACUAGUUUUUGUUUUCAAAAAAUGGUUUCGACAGCUUGACGACUCCACUGGGUACCUCUGAGAGUCGAGCCAUGAAUUGAUUAUCUUCUGUCUUUUUUGUCGAAAAUUCAAAGUUGUUUUAAAACCUGAUUUUCCCUUUGCAUUCAUUAGUUUUAAUUAUCAUAUGCUUGUUUGGUUGGUUUAAUUCCGUUGGAUUAUUUGCAUUUUGCAUUGCAUUGGUUUGUCAAUUUUAUCUCUCUAAGUGGGAGUGAGAAGCUAGUCCUUCGUGAGGUUUUCACCUCCGUGCAGGGUAGUGGAUCGCUUUCGGGAUACAUCCGUACCUAUGUUUUCGUGAGAUUUUCAUCUCCGUCCAGCCAUAGGGAAAUGUAUUCCCCUGAACCGAACUCGGUCCAUAUGAGCCUAUAAUAGGUGAGGAUCGAGGAAUCUACUGGUUUGGGUACCUUUACCCUUGAAGCCAAAACCUCAUAUAGUGAACUUUAGGAACCUAUUCUAGGUAGAACUAUACCCCUAAUAGUCACCCGAGUAGGUAUUUUAUUGCUUUCGGUUUGUUUUUAUAUCUGAUACUGACUUUUUGUGUUUUAUUCUGAUUGCAUGGCAUUACAAUUACAUGGCAUUUCAUUACAAAAGGCGUUGGUUCAUUUUCAGUUGCUAGAUAGAAAGUUUUAUCAUGGGAGAUGGGUUUCUUGAUAGAGUGGAAGAUAAUGCGGCUGUCCGAACUUGGGCUGAGAUGACACAGCGCGAAAAAGGUGAUAGUUUGGUCGAGGGAUACGUAUCAGAGUUAUGGGACUUCACCCAUGUUAGCGUAGCCUAGAACAACUUGCAAUAGUUGAAGGAGAUUUGGGAUCAGUGGAAUAAUGAGGUUAGACAGUUGUUCUAUUCAAAUUAUAGGGAUUUGCCUUAUUUACUCGAUAUGAAGGUAGACAAGCGUCUGUUUUGAGCUCUUGCCCAGUUUUGGAAUUCGGGCUACAGUUGUUUCACGUUCGGAAAGGUUGAUUUGGUGCCUACAAUAGAGGAGUACACGACUUUACUUCGGUGUUCGAGGGUUCAAAUAGACAGAAUCUAUUCGAAAGCGGUAAAUGUACAGACCUUCUUGAGGAAGCUGAUGAAUAUAACGGGGAUGAGUGAGCAGUGGGUUACAGCUCGGAUCAAGCAAAAGGGAGAUAGUAGGUGCAUUCCUUGGAAAAAUUUGAAGGACCCCAUUUUAGCACACCCAGAUGCGAGGAAGAAGGUAGAUAUCUUUGCUUUAAGUAUAUAUGGUUUGGUUGUGUUCCCUAAGACUUUGGGGCAUGUUGAUGAAGUGGUCACUGACUUAUUCGAUCGGCUUGAUAAGAGUUUUCACCGGUCCCAGUAAUUUUGGCAGAAACUUUCAGGGCACUGAAUGCAUGCCGGAGGGCAGGAGAGGGUAGAUUCAUUGGAUGUGCGCAGCUCCUACUUGCAUGGUUCCACAGUCACUUUUGGAAGGUUGAUAAAGUUUCAUAUUAGGUUUUCUCUGAAAGUUAUUCACCAUUGAAGGAGAUAGUGGCUACACCUAGGAGGGAUAACAUCUCAGAAGAGAAGUGGAUGGUAAUUUUUCAGAAUUUGCAAGAGGAGGAUAUCGAAUGGAGAGCUCUGUGGUUACUUUCAGAUGAGAUCCUAUAUCGAUGUGGGGAUUUUGAUUGGGUUCCUUUGAUUGGAAUUUGGGGAGCUGUUGGUUAUGCCCCAUUGUUAGUAUUAAGGUAAUACUGGUCAAGACAGUUUAUGCCUGCAACUCAUGGACUGGCUAAGUGUGAAUUCUCGUAUAAAGAUGAUGGUUACAAAAAGAAAGCUCGCGAUAUGGCCAAUGCGUGGAAUCAAACUCGUCGAAUGAAGAGAUUAGCUGUGGGUCCAAUGACAACUCCCGAGUACAACGAGUGGUGGGUGAAGAGGAUCAACAAUAACAUUCCUGAGCCGAGUCUGGAAAAUAGCAGUCGAUAGAGGAACAUUUACGUGUCGUCCCCACUGAGCUGGAGAUCAUAAAACAAGAUUUUGAAAGGAAGAAUGCGAAAUUAGAGAAGAAAAUAGAGCAAAUGGAGGAAGAGAAAGUAAAUUUGAGACUGGAUGUGGAUGUUCAGAAACUCGAGGCUGAUAAACUGAGAAAGGGGAAGAAUAAGGCCGAAGAAGAGCUAGAUAGCUUGAAGAUGGAUUAAAAGAAGCUACGUCUGUCCAUGAGAACUGCCGGGCUUGAAAAGACUUCAGAGCAGUGGCGUGAAGAAAUUCGAGAGGAAAGAAACAAGUCAGACCGAUGGGAAAAGAAAUUUCGAGAGGUACAAGCACAAAAUGAAGCCUUGGAAAAGAGCUUGUCAGAGAGUCAAAAGGAAAAAGGAGAACUAAAGGACAGAGUAGUUGAUUUAGAAGGGUCUCUUCGUCAACAUAGAAGUCGAAAUUCUGUAUUAGAGCUGAAAAUAAGUCUGAGCAAGAUCGAAGAAAUGAAGGGUAAAAUAGAAGAGUUAGAAUCAGCAUUACGAAGUUGUGAGGUUCGGAUCGAGCAUCUAGAGGCAAAAGAAGGUCGUCAAAAUGAGCAACGUCAUUAUUUACAGGAUCAAGUCAGAAGUAGGGAUCGCGUUAUGGGAGAAGCUGUGGUGCAGAUUCGAGAAGUGGCAGAUCACUUGCAAACUUUAGCGUUACAAGCUGACACGUUGAGCGUAAAGUACGAGCUAGAGUCAGAUCGAGGACAAGAGUUAGCAUCGUUGCUUAAAAAGAUCAAGGUCUUAGGUAUCAGGGCAAAGCCAUAUUUGUAGCCCAUUCUAUGUAAAGAGAUUUAUUUUCUAAUAAAGUUUCUGAAAGUAAUUGAAAUUAAAAUUAACGCAUUUUCUGUAUUCAUUUUCAUACAUCGCAUUACAUGCAUUAAAAAUUAUCAAAGGGUUCUGAUUAAUCAAAAUCAUUCCUCAGUUAACCUGGAAUCUAACCAGCCAACUCAGCACCGUUACGGUACAAGAACGAAAUUAAAAAAUAUGGACCAAAGGCUAGAAAAGCUCGAACAAUUUCAAAAAGACAUACAGGAUCAACUCCAGCAACAAAUGAAGGAACAACUUGAAAAAAUUCAGCAGAAGUUGAUGGACAAAAUGGAGGAAUCCCAAGGAAGCAUGAUAACCCAGUUAACUCAACUCUUAACUGGCAGAAAAGAUAAGGGAAAGAGCCCUAUAACAAAUAUUGAGGAGGAAGGCGAGGAUGGACUCUAGUAUCCUCCAAGCUUUACUCAUCUGUAUGUGCAGCACCAAGCAAAAGUGUAUCUGCAUAAGUCUUCUGUUACGAUUAGGCCUCAGCAACUUCAGGAUGAUGCUUCAAGGUCGAUGAAUUUUCAGGUUGGAUCAGUCUCCAGUCCUGAGAAUAAUCUUGCCAAUCCUAUUGUUCCUGAUUUCAAUGAAGCAGUUGAAAAAGAGAAAACAAAAGAGGAAUUACCAAAGCAAUUGGAAGAAAGAUGGAAGUGGAUUGAGGAGAAAUUCAAAGUGAUGGAAACUACUGAAGGAUGCCAUGGGAUUGAUGCUAUGGAUUUAAGUUUGGUACCGGAUUUAGUGCUCUCUUACAAGUUUAAAAUGCCGAAUUUCGAGAAGUAUAAUGGAACCACUUGCUCUGAGGCCCACAUUACUAUGUUUUGUAGGCGAAUGACUGGGUAUGUCAAUAAUGACCAGUUAUUGAUACACUGUUUUCAGGAUAGCCUCACGGGGGUAGCAUCUAAAUGGUAUAAUCAAUUAAACCGUGCUAGGAUCAGCUCUUAGAGGGAUUUAGCACAGGCCUUUAUGAAACAGUACAGUCAUGUGGCGAAAAUGGUUCCUGAUAGGAUUACUUUGCAGAACAUGGAGAAAAAGUCGAAUGAAGGUUUUAGGCAGUACGCUCAGAGGUGGAGAGAGGUGGCAGUGCAGGUCCAACCACCGCUCCUUGAAAGAGAAAUGACGAUGCUCUUUGUAAAUACGCUGAAGGCCCCCUUUAUCACACACAUGUUAGGCAGUGCCACGAAAAAUUUUGCUGACAUAGUCAUGAGUGGUGAGAUGAUUGAAAGUGCUGUAAAGAGUGGGAAGAUUGAUGUUGGAGAGAACAACAGAAGGCAAAACUCAAAGAAAAAAGAAAGUGAGGUGAACAAUGUGAAUACAUACAACAAGUCAAUUACGGUGAAUCAGCCCAGGAAGGUAGUGGCAGGUCAACAAGGUUCAUCAAAACAGGAAUCUGGUGUGAGGCCAAAUACUGAGAGGCCCCAGUUCACACCCAUCCCUAUGUCUUACAAAGAGUUGUAUCAGAAUUUAUUUAACGCGCACGUUGUUGCCCCAUUUUAUUUAACUCCUUUAUAGUUUCCAUAUCCUAAAUGGUAUGAUGCGAAUGCACAAUGUGAUUACCAUGCAGGAGUUGCGGGGCACUCAAUAGAGCAUUGUACUGCUUUUAAAAGACUUGUUGAGAAGCUCAUUAAGAUGGGCGUUGUUAAGGUAGAUGAUUCAUCAGGUAUGGAAAAUCCAUUACCCAAUCAUACUGAUGCUGGGGUAAACAUGGUGGGUGAAGGUACGGGGAAGAAGGUCAAGGAGAAUAUUGCUGAGGUGAAGAUCCCUUUGAAGAGGGUUUGGAAAGAAAUGGUAGGAAGAGGGUUAAUUAUUUCGGAUUUAGUAGGGGUGGCAAGACCCAAAAUUAUUGUGAGUUCCAUCAUGAGGUGGGACACGAAAUUCAAAAAUGUGAGAAGUUCAGAGCUCUGAUCCAAAGCAUGAUGAAUAAUGGAGAUAUAGAGUUUUUUGAAGAGGUGGAAGGAAAAGAAAGUAUAUGCGCAUCGAAGUCAGAGACGAGGAUUCCGAAGGUUACUCAUCCUGCGAUUAUCAUUUCGCGCCUUAAGGUUAUUGAAGUUAGGGCACAUGUGACACUGAAAAUUGUUAUUUAAAAGCCGACAAAGUUUUCGUAUAAGGAUAGCAAGAAGGUCCACUGGAAUUAUGAGUGCGAAGUAACAGUUUCGGGGAAGGAAACUUCAAUUGGUGUUGUGAAAGAAAACCAAAAGACAAGUUCUUAUACGAAUACUGAGGAGUACUGCAGUCGGAUAAAUGCUCAAGCAGAAUGGGUAGUGGGAAAGGUCCUUGCAGUAGAGAAAAAGGAAAAGAAGAGGGUUGAAUUAAGGCCAUUGAUUAAUGAGACAAUAAAGGAAGAAGAGGCCACUGAAUUCUUAAAAUUUCUAAAACACAGUGAGUAUAGCGUGGUAGAGCAGCUGCAUAAGCAACCAACUCGUAUAUCUGUGUUGUCUUUGCUCAUGAAUUCAGAGUUACAUCGAAAUGCGCUGAUGAAGGCUUUAAAUGAAGCAUACGUGGCAAGUGAUAUUUUUGUCAACCAAUUGGGUCGGUUGGUCAACAAUAUAAGCGUUGAUAAUUUUAUCUUCUUCAACGAUGAUGAAAUACCAUCUGGAGGUAUGGGGUCUACUAAAGCUCUGAACAUUACUGCUCGGUGUAAAGGAAGCAUGGUGUUAGGAGUUUUAAUUGAUAAUGGGUCUGCAUUGAAUGUACUACACUUAUCUACUCUCAAUAGACUACCUGUGGAUAGCUUACAUAUGAAAACAUGUCAAAAUGUGGUGAGGGCAUUCGAUAGAAUGGAAAAGAAAGUUCUGGGGAGAAUUAAGAUACCAUUGCUGAUUGGCCCAAAUACUUAUGAAGUAGAUUUCAUUGUAAUGGAUAUCAAGCCUUCAUAUAACUGUUUAUUGGGGAGACCUUGGAUACAUUUGGCAGGGGUUGUGCCUUCAUCGCUACAUCAGAAGUUAAAAUUAGUGUCAGAAAGACAGUUAGUGACAAUAAAUGCCAAGGAAAGCAUUAUUGCAUCAAUAACCAGCAAUACGUCAUACGUGGAGACGGAUGAGGAGGCGGUGGAAUGUUCUUUCUGGACUUUAGAAUUCAUAAAUGCAACAUUUAUUGCUGAGGGGAAUAGAAUUCCGGUACCGAAGAUAUCCAGGACUACAAGAAUGGGCCUUCAAUUAAUGGUGGGAAAAGGAGCUGUACCAGGAAAAGGAUUGGGAAGAUAUUUGCAAGAAGGAGUUGAAGUACCAGUGAUGAAAGAAAAGUUUGAGUGUUUUGGUCUUGGCUAUAGACCAGAUGUAAAACAAAGAAGAAAGGAAAUGGAGAGAAGACAAGAGAGAAGAAGGGCACGCCUGAGUGGAAAUGAAGUUAGGUGGGAGCAUAUGGCUUUUCCUCACAUAUCCAAGACUUUCGUAUCAGGAGGGUUUAUUCAUCUGAAACGAAAGGUGCUUAAAGUGAAAGGAGUUGAAGAGUUGCUGGGAGAUGUCUACAUCAAUACCCUAGACACAGUUGAAAGAGAGACCUUGCCAGGGAUUCGCACUUACGAGCCUAGAAGUGAUCUGGACAAUUGGAUUGCGAAAGAGAUUCCUGUACUUUUUAGAGCUUGUUCAGAGUAAAUAUGUAGAACAUCCUUGUCGUUUCGACUUAAAAUAUAAUUUCUUUAUGGAUUAUGCACAUCUUGAAUAUUAUAAUUUCAAUAAAUAUACUUUUUCGUAUGCAUUUUUGAGCCAGUAUUCUUUUAUUCUUUUUUCGAGUAAUUAUUCUUUUAUUCUUUUUCUACAUCAUUCUUUUAUUCAUUUCAUAAUCAUAUUUUUUUCAUAAAUUCAUAUAUUCUUUGUAUAUUCUUUGGCACCUAUCAUAGGUCCCCGGAUAUCAAUGAUAUGAAUGACGCUGCUUCAGACUCAGAAUCACAUUUUGAACAAGACAGGUGUUUAGAGGGAUCACAGAAUUUUGAAGAUGACAUAGACUGUGAUGUAUCUCCGGACUUAUUGAGAAUGGUAGAACAGGAAGAUAAGAAAAUCUUACCUCAUAAAGAAUCAUUGGAGAUUGUGAGUCUAGAGGAGGGAAAAGAGGUAAAAAUCGGAACUGACAUUUCUGCUAAGAUAAGGCAAGACCUCAUUGAGUUACUCCGGGAAUUCAAAGAUGACUUUGCAUGGUCAUAUCAAGAUAUGCCUGGGUUAAGCACUGAUAUUGUGGUGCACCGUCUUCCCAUAAAAGAGGAUUGCAAGCCAGUUCAGCAGAAGCUCAGAAGAAUGAUGCCUGACAUUGUACUAAAGAUAAAAGAAGAAGUCAAGAAGUAGUUUGAUGCUGGGUUCUUGCAAGAAGUUAAGUAUUCAGAAUGGGUAGCUAAUGUUGUUCCUGUCCCUAAGAAAGAUGGAAAGGUGCGAAUGUGUGUGGAUUAUAGGGAUUUGAACAGAGCCAGUCCAAAAGAUAAUUUUUCAUUGCCUCACAUCGAUACUUUGGUUGAUAAUACUGCAGGCUAUUCAUUAUUUUCUUUCAUGGACGGUUUUUCUGGAUACAAUCAAAUAAAGAUGAAACCAGAAGAUAUGAGAAAGACCACAUUUAUCACUUUGUGGGGAACAUUCUGUUAUAAAGUGAUGCCCUUUGGAUUAAAGAAUGCGGGGGAAACUUAUCAAAGAGCUAUGGUAACUUUGUUUCAUGACAUGAUGCAUAAGGAGAUUGAGGUUUAUGUUGACGAUAUGAUUGCAAAGUCCAGAACGGAAGAGGAGCAUGUUCAAGUUCUGCAGAAGUUAUUUUUGAGACUAAGAAAUUUCCAGCUCAAGCUUAAUCCAACAAAGUGCACCUUUGGGGCUAGAUCAGGGAAGUUGUUGGGCUUCAUAGUCAGUGGGAAAGGGAUUGAAGUUGACCCAGACAAAGCCAGGGUAAUACGAGACUUGCCUCCACCACACACUCAAAAAGAAUUACGGGGUUUCUUGGAAAGACUGAAUUAUAUUUCUCGGUUUAUUUCACAACUAACUGAGAAAUGUGAUCCCAUAUUUCAUCUUCUAAAGAAGCAUAAUCCGGGCGUAUGGGAUGAAGAAUGCCAGAAGGCUUUUGACAAAAUAAAACAAUAUUUGUCUAAUCCUUUAGUGCUAUCACCACCUAAUCUGGAUAGGCCAUUAAUACUGGAUUUAACAGUAUUUGACAAUUCCAUGGGGUGUGUGUUAGGCCAACAUGAUGAGACAGGGAGAAAAGAAAGGGCAAUAUACUAUCUCAGUAAGAAGUUCACUGAUUGUGAAGCGAGAUAUUCGGCUUUUAAGAAGUUGUGUUGUGCUCUGGUUUGGACAACUCGAAGAUUACGGCAAUAUAUGUUGUAUCAUACAACUUGGCUGAUUUCAAAGUUAGAUCCCUUAAAGUAUAUGAUGGAGUCGAUUGCUUUGAAUGGGAGGAUGGCUAGAUGGCAGAUCUUGCUUUCUGAAUUUGACAUAGUGUAUGUGAGUCGGAAGGCUGUGAAAGGGAGCGCAAUAGCUGACUUUUUAGCUAGCAGAGCCCUGGUGGAUUAUGAGCCUUUGAACUUCGAUUUCCUAAAUGAGGAUUUGAUGUAUGUGGCAACCACUGAAGAAAAUCCCUAAAUGGAUCAUGUGUGGAAGUUAAAUUUUGAUGGAGCCUCAAAUGUUGUAGGUAAUGGAAUUGGGGCAAUCCUGAUAUCUCCAAGCGGAGAUCAUUAUCCUUUUGCUAGCAAACUGGAUUUUGAUUGCACUAACAAUAUGGAAGAGUAUGAAGCAUGCAUUAUGGGUAUUCGUGCAGCCAUCGAGCGUAAAAUCAAAGUGUUAGAAGUGUAUGGGGAUUUUGCACUGGUGAUAUAUCAACUCAAAGGAGAAUGGGAGACAAGAGACCCUAAAUUGAUCAAUUAUCGAAAGAUGGUUCUUGAAUUGAUAGACGAGUUUGAUGACAUUACUUUUUGUUAUCUUCCACGAGAUGAGAAUCAGAUGGCUGAUGCAUUGGCUACUUUAGCCUCUAUGAUCCGAGUGAAUAGGUUAGAGGAUAUGAAGCCUAUUCAGAUGAGUAUUUCUGAAACCCCGGCUCAUUGUUAUAAUGUUGAGGAAGCGGAAAAGGAUGACCAUCCCUAGUAUUUGAAUGUAUUGCGAUAUAUAAAAAAUCGUGAGUAUCCAGGUCAGGCAACAGAGAAUGAUAAGAAAGUAUUGAGAAGAUUGGCUAUUGACUAUGUUCUAGAUAGAGAAAUCCUGUACAAAAAAGGGAAAGAUCAAGUACUGCUAAGAUGUGUGGACGCAGUGGAAGCUAGAAAGAUUCUAGAAGAAGUCCAUGAGGGUAUCUGUGGAACACACGCAAAUGGUUUCACAAUGGCCAGGCAGAUCAUGAGGUUUGGGUAUUAUUGGUCUACUUUGGAAAAGGAUUGCAUUAGCUAUGCUAAGAAGUGCCAUAAAUGCCAAAUUUAUGGCGAUAAAAUGCAUGCACCUCCUUCACAUCUUUAUGUUAUGACUUUUCCAUGUCCUUUCUCUAUGUGGGGUAUGAACGUCAUUGGGCCAAUAUCGCCAAAGGCUUCUAACGGACAUCGCUUUAUCUUUGUGGUUAUUGGCUAUUUUACCAAAUGGGUAGAAGCUGCUUCAUAUGCAAAUGUCACAAAGUCAGCAGUUAGCAGAUUCUUGAAAAAAGAAAUCAUAUGUCGAUAUGGAAUGCCUGAGAGGAUCAUAUCUGAUAAUGCGCUGAAUUUGAACAAUAAUGCAAUAGCAGAGGUCUACAGUCAAUUCGGGAUCAGACAUCAUAACUCAUCGCCAUACCGCCCAAAGAUAAAUGGUGCAGUAGAAGUAGCCAAUAAGAAUAUCAAGAAAAUUAUGGGAAAGAUGACCGAGACUUACAAGAAUUGGCAUGAGAAAUUAACGUUCGCUCUCUUUGCUUAUAGAACGUCUGUCAGGACGUCGACUGGGGCAACACCUUUCUCUUUGGUUUAUGGCAUGGAAGCAGUUUUACCUAUUGAAAUAGAAAUUCCUUCUCUCCGGGUAUUAUCUGAGUUGAAAUUAGAUGAGGCAGAAUGGGUUCAAUCUCGUUACGAUCAAUUGAACUUAAUAGAAGGGAAAAGGCUAAAAGCUGUUCGGUAUGGUCAGAUGUAUCAAAAGCGGAUGAUGCGGGCCUACAACAAAAGGGUUCGUCCCAGAGAAUUUAAUAAGGGGGAGUUGGUGUUGAAAAAGAUCCUUCCUAUACAAAAGGAUUUUAAAGGAAAAUGGAUGCCAAAUUGGGAAUGUCUAUAUGUUGUAAAGAAAGCCUUUUCAGGGGGAGCUUUGAUUUUGAGUGAGAUGGAUGGCAAAGACUUGCCAAACCCUGUAAACUCAAAUUCAGUUAAGAAAUACUUUUCUUAAAAAAAGGGAAAGGAGAGGCCAAUGUGAAAACCCGUAAAGGGCACUUUGAGACCAAAGGGGAUUUGAGUUGAAAACCCGGAAAAGGGCGGCUCAAAUGCUGAUCAGGUGACGCAUCCAGUGAUCUUCAAAUGAUUGAAUCAGUGGGAAAAGGGGCGCAACAUCUUGGGGCAUCGGCAUAGUACUGCAGAUCUUCUAGUCACAUGUUGGAUUCAGAAUGGUCUUCAGGAAGUUUGCGCAGAAAAGUUCAAACUGCGAUAUUUGGGGCACCUAGUCUUCAUAUUGAAUUGCUUAUUCUUGGAAUACUUUAUUCUUUUUCAAGAUACGAGUCAAUUCCUCUUUUAUUCUCAAUAUUAUUGAUAAUUUAUUCAUUUCGGGCUAUGCUCUCAAUUCGAUUCUAUUUAUUCAUUGUUUCAUUCUUUUGGCAAAGCAUGUUGCAUUAGAAUAACGAUUAAUGGGCUAAUAAAACUUUUACAAAAGAAAUUUUGCAUAUUACUUUGGAAGUUUCUAAAUAAUAUGGGAACCUGAAACAGGAUUAUUGUUUAGAAUACACCUGGUUUAAAGGUUGGAAAUCUGAUAAGGAGGGGCUUAAAUUAAGACUUUCUUUUUGGAUUUUGUUGUCAAAAACGUUGAUUGAGCAAAAUGACAGGAUGUCGGGUUGGUGACAAGGCUUAGAUAAACAAGCAGGCAAUAAUCACCAAGCAAUAAAAAGAGUUUUCUUGGAGAAGAUAAUCCUUCAUUUGUGCAUAGGCAUUUGGUAUAACACCCUGAGAAUGGUAUAAAAGACCAAAGUUUUUCACAUUGCGAUAAAAGAAGAUUGAGAAAUCAUGUUUUUCUACCCUUGGGUUACAGAGAAAAGAUGAUACAAAUUUUGUGUCCCAGUGGAUUAAACUUGGAAGUUCAUAGUGGGGCAAUCUGAUCAAAUGAUUUUUGGAGAUGUUAGUUGAGUAGGGGGACAUUGUAGUGCGUCAGUGGUAUGGCUUUAAUGAAUUUUGAGUGAUGACAACAAGUGGGGUCAUUUUCAUAAAAUUACAUUCUACAUCCAUUCAAAUGUCAUUCAUACAUGUCUAGUUAGGAGCAUAUGAUACAUUCUGAUUAUGACAUCCUAAUCAUUAGGCAUAAUUAGGUUCAUAAAUAUGAAUUAUACAUGUCAUGUUCCCCAGAGAAAAAGCCGAAGAAAUUGAUACUAUCUCCCUGAGGUUGCAGUGGAGCGGAUUGACAUACGAAUCUUUUAUCUCUGAGGUUGUAGAGAGCAAAUCACAUCAAGUAUUAUCUCCCUGAAGUUGCAGUGGAGCAGACUGAAGACCUAAUCCUAUCUCCCUGGCAUUGUAGCGGAGCAGAUUGAAGCCACGACGGUGAAUCUUAUCUCCCUAGCGUUAAGGCUUGGAUUAGUUGAAGUUGAGCGGAUUGAAGCUGUGGGCAGUGAAUCCUAUCUCUUUGACAUUGCAUUUUAAAAAGAUUGAAGCCACAAUGGCGAAUCUUACUUCCCUGGCGAUGCAGUGGACCAGAUUGAAGCUACGACGGUGGAUCUGGUUUCCCUAACAGCGCAAUUAAAAAGAUUGAAGCCACAACGGCGGAUCUUACCUCCUUAGCAGUGCAGUUGACAGGUUGAAGCUACGACGGCGGAUCUUGUUUCCUCGACAUUGUAAUUGGAUAAAUUGAAGAGGAUAAUCCCAUCUCCCUGAAGUUGCAGUGGAGCGGAUUAAAACCAUAGAUCUUAUCUCUCUGAAGUUGCAGAGAGUAGAUCGCAUCAGACUUAUUUUUAAAGUUGCAGUAGAAUAAGUUGAAGCUACAAGUCUUAUCUCCCUGAAGUUGUAGUGGAGCAGACUAAAGAUAGUAAAUUUUGUUCUUUUGAGAAGUUACAAGGUACAAGUCCUAUCUCCCUGAUGUUACAGUGGAGUGGAUCGAAAUACCAUUUCCUAUACCUCUAAAGAUGCAGUAGGAUGGAAUGAAGCUACUUGAAGAAAAGGGCUCCGAAGUCUGGCACGACCAGGCAAAAUUGGCCAUUUCUAAAGUCUUUGCUCCGUUCUCGUUACACGAUGAUGAGCAAAGAGGGGCAGUUGUAAUAGGCCAAUUUUGGCCUGAUUAAAAAAUCAAAUAAAAACUAAAUAAUGACAAAAAUGUCCAGUCCAUUUACACAGCCCAAAUAAAAAUUAAAUACAUUUGGCCUAAUAAGGCCCAAAUUUGCAAACCCUAGCCUGCUAGCCCAAAAACACCAAAGAAGCAGAAAACCUAAGAGGCUGAUAGCAAAUUGGUGCCGCAGCAGUUGCCCACGUCGCAACAACCACCCACGUUCAGCAAAUCCCCGCACCCACCAUGCACGUUCUUCACCUGCAACAAACCACAAACAGUGGAAGGGACCGAAUAUACAGGGAGCAAAUUGUAAACGGAUGAAGGGAGAUAUAAAAAAAACUGAAUCUGAAAAGAGGGGGAUAUUAAAGAAAAAAUCGAAUUUGUAAGGUAUGGGGGAGAGCAAAAAUAUUGUAUAUAGAAAUAUUUGAAAGAAGAAAAAGAAUAGAAAUUAAUUUUGAAGGUAAUCGGUGGGUUCCGUUUUUUUCCUUUUUUUACUGUCUUGUUUUCUUUAUUUUCUUUCUUGUUCUUUAAAACAAAAACAAAACAAAGAAGAAGGAGAGGGGUUCUUACCGGAGGUAGCGCGCCGUCGUCGUCGUUGUGGCCGAUCGAAAAUGGGUCUGAAAUGGUGGAAGGGAGGCUGCGGCAAACACAAAAAUGACAGAAAAGGGGAAUGGUUUUAGGGUUUUAAAAUAGGAUUUUAUAAGGGUUUAAAAGGGGCCAUUUGCGCGAUUGGUCCUUUUCU